UACGAAGGGGGCUAGCGUUGUUCGGAAUUACUGGGCGUAAAGCGCGCGCAGGCGGCCUUUCAAGUCAGGGGUGAAAGCCCGGAGCUCAACUCCGGAAUUGCCUUUGAAACUGUCAGGCUCGAGUACGGGAGAGGUGAGUGGAACUGCGAGUGUAGAGGUGAAAUUCGUAGAUAUUCGCAAGAACACCAGUGGCGAAGGCGGCUCACUGGCCCGAUACUGACGCUGAGGCACGAAAGCGUGGGGAGCAAACAGG
rnacentral:rRNA from 1 species